UUGACCACUCUCACUCUCUCCGUCUCCCUCUCUUCUCUUCUUCUUCCGCUUUUCAACACACGUUCUAUCUACUCUCCUCAUUUCUACUCGGCAAGCCCUCUCAAAUCAAAGCCAAAGGCAAAAAUCAAUUGUGAUGAUGUUGCCUCUUCGUCGAGCCUUUAAUCCUUUCCGGAAACAAAGUUUUAGGGUUGGGACUUCCCAAAUUUGCAAUGAAUUAGAAACAGCAAGGUGCACAGUGGAGAACUGCAAUUCAGGAUAUACUGGACCUCAUCAACUGAUAUCCAAUAAGCAUUUGUCUCUGACACGAUUCUUCAACACAACAUGUGAUUCUCCAAAAUUACUUCUGGGUACCCGCAGUUUUGCUUCUCAGGCUGGCACAAAGAGCAGUGGAGAAGAUGAUGAUGAUGAUUUGGAGGAUGGGUUUUCUGAACUUGAAACUUCAACUACCUCUAAUAUCACUAAUGAAAGUGAUGCAACCCACAGAAAUGAGGAUGAUUUAAUCUCUGAACCAGAACUCUCUGAAGAGGAUGAUGAUGACAUUGGGGUGCACAAACCUCAAGAUGAGCUGGAAUUAUCAGAUGCUGAGGACGACAAAGGCAAGAAAACUCUGCAGAAAACUGCUUCAUCAGAAUUGUUCAAGGUCAUUUUGGCUGCUCCAGGUUUAUCUGUUCAUAAGGUUGUAGACAAAUGGCUUGAAGAAGGAAAUGAAGUGACCCGCCCUGAAAUAGCAUAUACCAUGCUCAAUCUGCGCAGGCGACGGAUGUUUGGGAGGGCUUUGCAGCUCUCAGAGUGGUUGGAGUUGAAAGGUGGUCACGAGUUUGGUGAGAGAGAAUAUGCUUCUCGUCUUGAUUUGAUUGCCAAAGUGCGUGGUAUUGAGAAGGCAGAAAAUUACAUUCAGAACAUCCCAAAAUCCUUCAGAGGUGAAAUUCUUUAUCGUACUCUAUUAGCUAAUUGUGUGGCUGUAGCAAAUCUGAAAAAGGCUGAGGAUGUUUUCAAUAAGAUGAAGGAUCUGGGGUUCCCAAUUACUAGCUUUGCUUGUAACCAGUUGCUGCUUUUGUAUAAGAGGUGUGAUAAGAAGAAAAUUGCUGAUGUUCUGUUGUUGAUGGAGAAGGAUAAUGUAAAGCCUUCCCUCUUCACAUAUAAAAUUUUGAUAGACGCUAAAGGUCAAUCAUAUGACAUUACUGGGAUGGAAAAAAUUGUGGAGACAAUGAAGGAUGACGACAUAGAACCUGAUUUUGCAACAAAAGCCUUAUUAGCUAGGCACUACAUCUCUGGCGGGCUAAAGGAGAAAGCUGAGAGUCUGUUGCAGGAGAUGGAGGGAGUAGAUAUAAAAGAAAACCGUUGGGCCUGCCACUCUUUCCUUCAUCUAUAUGCAGACCUUGGAAAAGCUGAUGAAGUUCACAGAAUAUGGAAAGUUUGUGAAUCUAGACCGCGGCUUCUGGAAUGCCUAGCAGCUAUUGAAGCUUGGGGAAAGCUAAAGAAGGUCGAAGAAGCAGAAGCAGUCUUUGAAUCUAUGGCGAAAAAAUGGAGUAAGCUGUCUGGGAAGCACUAUUCGGCUCUACUGAAAGUCUAUGCAAAUCAGAAAUUGCUGGACAAAGGGAAGGAUCUUGUGAAGCGGAUGGCUGAUAGUAACUGCUAUAUAGGGCCACUGACUUGGGAUGCGCUUGUUAAGCUUUAUGUUGAUGCUGGUGAAGUGGAAAAGGCUGACUCCAUACUACAGAAGGCUGCAGAACAGAACCGGAUGAGACCACUGUUUAGUUCUUUUAUGGCCAUUAUGGAUCAGUAUUCGAAGAGAGGUGAUGUACACAAUACUGAGAAGCUGUUCCACAAGAUGAGAAAAGUGGGGUAUGUAUCCCGUAUUCGACAGUAUCAAUCGCUUGUUCAGGCCUAUAUUAAUGCCAAGACACCUGUAUAUGGUUUCCAUGAGAGGAUGAAGGCCGACAAUAUAUUCCCCAACAGAGCGUUGGCAGCUCAAUUGGCUCAGGUGGAUCCCUUUAAAAAGACGGCAGUUUCAGACUUGCUCGAUUAAGGUCAAUUUUCUGGUUGCAGAAUUGCUUUCAAGCAAUGCGGUUAUAAAUUGACCACAUCAUCUUCUUCGUAUUCAAAAUUAGUCUUACCAGUCAAAUUAUUUGCUUGUAACUCCGCCAUAGGGUAUGCCGGUAUGCUCCUGCUGACUCGAAUCUGGUUGCUGUGUCUCCGUGAUUCAUUGGUAAAAAGGUUGGUAUUAAAUCUGUCUGCAAUUUGCAAGAUUGCAGCAUGUCAUUAAAGCGAGUCCAAGGAAAAUUUUUGGCUUUUGGUUUAGGGUGUCUUUAACUCUUUCCUAGUUGGGGCAUAAACGUACCAACGAUUAUAUUAUGGGGGGCGCAAAUGAGUCGAAGUACCAAGAUCAGCUUGAAAUUGAGUUUAAUCUCAAGUUAAAUGCCAAACCAUCAGUUAGGUAGGAGACUGCAGUAUCCUAAAAGCCUCCUGAGUCCUGACUGCGUUUUGGUCUAGCCAGUUGUAAGAGCACUGCAAUUGAAUGUUUUAUGCUGCAGGUAGUGUGAGCCCAUAGCAUUGUGCUAGGGAGGAGGGGCUGGAACGGUUACAACCGUUCCGGAAGGUUCACGGCCAUGAUUAGGUCAAAAAAAUUUGUGCGGCUCAGAUCACUUCUUGUAACUUAAUUUUCACAUCGUGUGGGAUCCACAAAAAUGUUGUUCUAGUGUUACUCGUUAUUUUAUUGUUACACCUUAUACAGAUGAUGUUACACCGUGUGCAAAUGGUAUUACACCUUCCAGAGCAACUGUUCCAGCCCUGAAUCCUUGUGCUAGCAUGGUGUCAGAAUCGGCUAUGCCUCUCAGGCACAAUGCAGUUCCACUAGUCAUAAGUCUCCACAGAUUUGAACCCAAGUCUGAUCUAGUUUCUGGAUUUAGAUCCAAAUUUGGCUUAGUACAGAAUACUAGCUGGGAAUAUUUGUAAUAUCAAUUUAACCUUCAAAGGA